GUGGCUGUAGCUUAGCUGGUUUAAAGCGUCUGCCUGUGGAGCAGAAGACCGCCGGUUCAAAUCCGGUCAGCCACC
rnacentral:tRNA from 1 species